rnacentral:rRNA from 1 species
AUUGAACGCUGGCGGCAGGCCUAACACAUGCAAGUCGAGCGAGAGGCGGACGGGGGAGUAAUGUCUGGGAAACUGCCUGUUGGCGGGGGAUAACUACGGGAAACGGUAGCUAAUACCGCAUACCAUCAGAUGUGCCCAGAUGGGGUUAGCUAGUAGGUGGGGGAACGGCUCACCUAGGCGCCGAUCCCUAGCUGGUCUGCGAGGAUGACCAGCCACACUGGAACUGAGACACGGUCCAGACUCCGACGGGAGGCAGCAGUGGGGAAUAUUGCACAAUGGGCGCAAGCCUGAUGCAGCCAUGCCGCGUGUGUGAAGAAGGCCUUCGGGUUGUAAAGCACUUUCAGCGGGGAGGCGUUACCCGCAGAAGAAGCACCGGCUAACUCCGUGCCAGCAGCCGCGGUAAUUC